rnacentral:rRNA from 1 species
CCGUCGCUACUACCGAUUGAAUGGUUUAGCAAGGUCAUCGGAUUGGGCAACUAUGGCUGCUUGUCGGCCUUGUUUGCACUGAAAAGACGACCGAGCUUGAUCAUUUAGAGGAAGUAAAAGUCGUAACAAGGUUUCCGUAGGUGAACCUUCGGAAGGAUCAU